rnacentral:rRNA from 1 species
UGGGGAAUAUUGCGCAAUGGGGGAAACCCUGACGCAGCGACGCCGCGUGUGGGAAGAAGGCCUUCGGGUCGUAAACCACUGUCAGGAGGGAAGAAACGCAUGGGUUCGAAUAGGGCCUGUGCCUGACGGUACCUCCGGAGGAAGCACCGGCUAACUCCGUGCCAGCAGCCGCGGUAAUACGGAGGGUGCAAGCGUUAAUCGGAAUCACUGGGCGUAAAGCGCACGUAGGCGGUUUUGCAAGUCAGGCGUGAAAUGCCUCGGCUCAACCGAGGAAUUGCGUUUGAAACUGCAAAACUGGAGUACUGGAGAGGGUGGCGGAAUUCCCGGUGUAGGAGUGAAAUCCGUAGAUACCGGGAGGAACACCAGUGGCGAAGGCGGCCACCUGGACAGAUACUGACGCUGAGGUGCGAAAGCGUGGGGAGCAAACA